rnacentral:rRNA from 1 species
CCUACGGGUGGCAGCAGUGGGGAAUAUUGCACAAUGGGGGAAACCCUGAUGCAGCGACGCCGCGUGAAGGAAGAAGUAUUUCGGUAUGUAAACUUCUAUCAGCAGGGAAGAAAAUGACGGUACCUGACUAAGAAGCCCCGGCUAACUACGUGCCAGCAGCCGCGGUAAUACGUAGGGGGCAAGCGUUAUCCGGAUUUACUGGGUGUAAAGGGAGCGUAGGCGGCUUUGUAAGCCAGAAGUGAAAGCCCGAGGCUCAACUACGGGACUGCUUUUGGAACUACAUGUCUAGAUUGCAGGAGAGGCAAGUGGAAUUCCUGGUGUAGCGGUGAAAUGCGUAGAUAUUAGGAGGAACACCAGUGGCGAAGGCGGCUUGCUGGACUGUAAAUGACGCUGAGGCUCGAAAGCGUGGGGAGCAAACAGGAUUAGAUACCCUGGUAGUC